rnacentral:rRNA from 1 species
UGAUGAACAUGACCUUCGGCGGGGGAGUAGCCGGCCCAACGGCCGGGUAAUACCGCGUACGACCACAUGGGGACAUCCCUGAGUGGUGAAAGCAGCAAUGCGCCGGUGGAGUGCCUCGCGGCCUAUCAGCUAGUUGGUGAGGUCAUGGCUCACCAAGGCGACGACGGGUAGCUGGUCCGAGAGGAUGACCAGCCACAUUGGGACUGAGACACGGCCCAGAUCCCGUACGGGG